UUAAGCGACUAAGCGUACACGGUGGAUGCCCUGGCAGUCAGAGGCGAUGAAGGACGUGCUAAUCUGCGAAAAGCGUCGGUAAGGUGAUAUGAACCGUUAUAACCGGCGAUGUCCGAAUGGGGAAACCCAGUGCAAUUCGUUGCACUAUCGUUAACUGAAUACAUAGGUUAACGAGGCGAACCGGGGGAACUGAAACAUCUAAGUACCCCGAGGAAAAGAAAUCAACCGAGAUUCCCCCAGUAGCGGCGAGCGAACGGGGAGCAGCCCAGAGUCUGAAUCAGCUUGUGUGUUAGUGGAACGGUCUGGAAAGUCCGACGGUACAGGGUGAUAGUCCCGUACACCAAAAUGCACAGGCUGUGAACUCGAAGAGUAGGGCGGGACACGUGGUAUCCUGUCUGAAUAUGGGGGGACCAUCCUCCAAGGCUAAAUACUCCUGACUGACCGAUAGUGAACCAGUACCGUGAGGGAAAGGCGAAAAGAACCCCGGCGAGGGGAGUGAAAAAGAACCUGAAACCGUGUACGUACAAGCAGUGGGAGCACCUUCGGGUGUGACUGCGUACCUUUUGUAUAAUGGGUCAGCGACUUAUAUUCUGUAGCAAGGUUAACCGUAUAGGGGAGCCGCAGGGAAACCGAGUCUUAACUGGGCGUUAAGUUGCAGGGUAUAGACCCGAAACCCGGUGAUCUAGCCAUGGGCAGGUUGAAGGUUGGGUAACACUAACUGGAGGACCGAACCGACUAAUGUUGAAAAAUUAGCGGAUGACUUGUGGCUGGGGGUGAAAGGCCAAUCAAACCGGGAGAUAGCUGGUUCUCCCCGAAAGCUAUUUAGGUAGCGCCUCGUGAACUCAUCUUCGGGGGUAGAGCACUGUUUCGGCUAGGGGGUCAUCCCGACUUACCAACCCGAUGCAAACUACGAAUACCGAAGAAUGUUAUCACGGGAGACACACGGCGGGUGCUAACGUCCGUCGUGAAGAGGGAAACAACCCAGACCGCCAGCUAAGGUCCCAAAGUCAUGGUUAAGUGGGAAACGAUGUGGGAAGGCACAGACAGCCAGGAUGUUGGCUUAGAAGCAGCCAUCAUUUAAAGAAAGCGUAAUAGCUCACUGGUCGAGUCGGCCUGCGCGGAAGAUGUAACGGGGCUAAACCAUGCACCGAAGCUGCGGCAGCGACACUAUGUGUUGUUGGGUAGGGGAGCGUUCUGUAAGCCUGCGAAGGUGUGCUGUGAGGCAUGCUGGAGGUAUCAGAAGUGCGAAUGCUGACAUAAGUAACGAUAAAGCGGGUGAAAAGCCCGCUCGCCGGAAGACCAAGGGUUCCUGUCCAACGUUAAUCGGGGCAGGGUGAGUCGACCCCUAAGGCGAGGCCGAAAGGCGUAGUCGAUGGGAAACAGGUUAAUAUUCCUGUACUUGGUGUUACUGCGAAGGGGGGACGGAGAAGGCUAUGUUAGCCGGGCGACGGUUGUCCCGGUUUAAGCAUGUAGGCUGAUUAUCCAGGCAAAUCCGGAUAAUCAAGGCUGAGGUGUGAUGACGAGGCACUACGGUGCUGAAGUAACAAAUGCCCUGCUUCCAGGAAAAGCCUCUAAGCAUCAGGUAACAUCAAAUCGUACCCCAAACCGACACAGGUGGUCAGGUAGAGAAUACCAAGGCGCUUGAGAGAACUCGGGUGAAGGAACUAGGCAAAAUGGUGCCGUAACUUCGGGAGAAGGCACGCUGGUGUGUAGGUGAAGUCCCUGCGGAUGGAGCUGAGACCAGUCGAAGAUACCAGCUGGCUGCAACUGUUUAUUAAAAACACAGCACUGUGCAAACACGAAAGUGGACGUAUACGGUGUGACGCCUGCCCGGUGCCGGAAGGUUAAUUGAUGGGGUUAUCCGUAAGGAGAAGCUCUUGAUCGAAGCCCCGGUAAACGGCGGCCGUAACUAUAACGGUCCUAAGGUAGCGAAAUUCCUUGUCGGGUAAGUUCCGACCUGCACGAAUGGCGUAAUGAUGGCCAGGCUGUCUCCACCCGAGACUCAGUGAAAUUGAACUCGCUGUGAAGAUGCAGUGUACCCGCGGCAAGACGGAAAGACCCCGUGAACCUUUACUAUAGCUUGACACUGAACAUUGAGCCUUGAUGUGUAGGAUAGGUGGGAGGCUUUGAAGCGUGGACGCCAGUCUGCGUGGAGCCAACCUUGAAAUACCACCCUUUAAUGUUUGAUGUUCUAACGUUGGCCCCUGACCGGGGUUGCGGACAGUGUCUGGUGGGUAGUUUGACUGGGGCGGUCUCCUCCCAAAGCGUAACGGAGGAGCACGAAGGUUAGCUAAUCCUGGUCGGACAUCAGGAGGUUAGUGCAAUGGCAUAAGCUAGCUUGACUGCGAGCGUGACGGCGCGAGCAGGUGCGAAAGCAGGUCAUAGUGAUCCGGUGGUUCUGAAUGGAAGGGCCAUCGCUCAACGGAUAAAAGGUACUCCGGGGAUAACAGGCUGAUACCGCCCAAGAGUUCAUAUCGACGGCGGUGUUUGGCACCUCGAUGUCGGCUCAUCACAUCCUGGGGCUGAAGUAGGUCCCAAGGGUAUGGCUGUUCGCCAUUUAAAGUGGUACGCGAGCUGGGUUUAGAACGUCGUGAGACAGUUCGGUCCCUAUCUGCCGUGGGCGCUGGAGAAUUGAGGGGGGCUGCUCCUAGUACGAGAGGACCGGAGUGGACGCAUCACUGGUGUUCGGGUUGUCAUGCCAAUGGCACUGCCCGGUAGCUAAAUGCGGAAGAGAUAAGUGCUGAAAGCAUCUAAGCACGAAACUUGCCCCGAGAUGAGUUCUCCCUGAGACU
rnacentral:rRNA from 1 species